rnacentral:rRNA from 1 species
UACAGAGGUCUCAAGCGUUGUUCGGAUCAUUGGGCGUAAAGGGGGCGUAGGCGGCGCGGUAAGUCGGGUGUGAAAUCUCGGAGCUUAACUCCGAAACUGCAUUCGAUACUGCCGUGCUUGAGGACUGGAGAGGAGACUGGAAUUUACGGUGUAGCGGUGAAAUGCGUAGAUAUCGUAAGGAAGACCAGUGGCGAAGGCGGGUCUCUGGACAGUUCCUGACGCUGAGGCACGAAGGCCAGGGGAGCAAACGGG